ensembl:snRNA U6 U6 spliceosomal RNA
GUGCUUGCUUUGGCAGUACAUAUUCUCAAAUUGAAACAAUACAGAGAAAAUUAGCAUGGCCCCUGCAUAAGGAGGCUGCACAGAUUUUUGAAGCGUUCCAUAUUUUG